rnacentral:rRNA from 1 species
CGGGGUGAGUAACGCGUGAGGAACCUGCCUCAAAGAGGGGGACAACAGUUGGAAACGACUGCUAAUACCGCAUAAGCCCACGGCUCGGCAUCGAGCAGAGGGAAAAGGAGUGAUCCGCUUUGAGAUGGCCUCGCGUCCGAUUAGCUAGUUGGUGAGGUAACGGCCCACCAAGGCAACGAUCGGUAGCCGGACUGAGAGGUUGAACGGCCACAUUGGGACUGAGACACGGCCCAG